rnacentral:lncRNA from 1 species
GCCAAGGAGACAAGGAACAUCAGUACACCACCUCUCACACUAGAGAUGCUCCACCUCCAACAUACUCAGCUGACUCUGCUGACUCCCUGGAUCUUCCUGAGCUGAUCCAGCCAGCUAAAGCACUUCCAUGUUCUCUGGGGUCUCAUUUUACCACCACUGAGGAAUCCUGGAAGGUUUCACCACGCCAGGUGAGUAGACAAGUUCCUGGGUCCUCCUUCAGGGACCCUCUCUCUUCACAGUUAAGAAAGAUUUGGUGUCCCCUCUAGUGGGUAUACAAAAAGACCACAACCACAAAUAAGCCAGACCAGCCCUUGCCGGGACCCACGUACUCCUGGGCAGCAUGUAAAGAGCUGAGUAAUUUGGCCUCACCACUUAAAAAUAAUGUCAGUUAUUCCCCUCCAACAAUAUGCAAAAGGAUGUCAGCGAAUGCAUGUCCAUGUGCGCAUGCCCACAGAUUCUCCUGGAUGAAGUGCCUACAGUUCCCAUCAUUCCCCAGAGGACUUUGCGACUUCAAAUCGUAAGAACUAAGCAUCUCAGGUAGGCUGUGGCCUGAGCCUUUCCUAGUCUCUUCAAAAGCUUUCUUCAAGACAGAAGAAGACCCUAUCGAGGUGAAGCCAAGUUAGGAACUGCUUCUGUGCUUCCAGUCUUGUGGCUCUGGGCACAUCCUGCGACCUCCUGGGCUCAUUAUCAUUGCUGGUAGAACACUACCUUCUUUCAGAGUUCCUGUGGGAAUUGACUUAGCUUGUAGCAUGAUCAUGAACUAUUAUAUCCAUAAAAGCGAUAGGAAGUGUUGACAUGGGAUCCAUUAUGUGAAGGUCAUGAAGGCUCGUUUAUAUGAUUGAACACAGGACAAAUCCAAACUCUAGCACAUACAUGAAACUAGAGCAAUGGCCCUAUCCCCAGCCAGUCUCUGUCAAUGUCUACUCACUUAGGCUCACAAGCAGGAACUGGAGGCUGAGGAACCUGAGCAAAGGCUAGGGGUGGAUCCAUUCGUUAGAGCAUCAAUAAAGGACCAUCAAGGGGAAACUCCUGGUCAAGCCGAUAAAUGCUCUGUCCUGUGCUGAACCAAUCACCUGACCAAGGGACCACCCUUAGGAAGGCAGGGCUCACCUUAAGCCUGCUAAGGAGAUGGGUGAAAUACUUUUUCCUUCAAGAAGACUCUACAUAGUCUUCACAGAACCCCCACUCCUAAUGUGGUAGCUUACAGAGAGGUAGCAAGACGGCUUCAUAGAUCUUCCCACUUCGG